rnacentral:tRNA from 1 species
CGGAGUGUAGGUCAUCGGUAGACCGCCGGCAUCGGGAGCCGGAAGCAGCUGGGUUCAAUUCCCGCCACUCCGA